UUUGUGUUUGAUUAGGCAUGAUUUGUGAAAUAGAAUUGAGAUUCUUCAAACACGAAAUUGAUGGAGGGUUAGUAUUCCCACCAUUUUGAGCAACGAAGGUGCCAACGCGAACACCGGGAGCUUUACUUCCUCUAUUAAUUGGUCUAACGUCGUAGAAAUUUAAGUCGUUUGAUCCCCAAAUCCAUGUAGAAGACUCACAUUGCUCAGUGAGGUCUGCUCUGACACACAUGACUUUGUCGGGGGAAGGUUUGUCUUGUGUUGUGGUGACAACAUGGCCUACAGCAUGGUAGCCAUCAGGUGCUAUCGGUAACCAAAUAUACAAAGGGGAGUCUUGAUCAACCAUGACGGAUGCGGUGUUUGAUACUAAUGUGUAAUCAACUGGUGGCUUUAAAGUGCCAUUAGUGGUACUUCCUGAAAUAUCCUUUGCUGCAAGAACAUAUCCAAAAAGAGGUUUGUUGUUGGGUUGGCUGUAGCUGCCUAACAUAGAAUAUCCGUACCUCAGUCCUGUUGGUUCGUACACCGAGGCGCCUUGAUCAUCCGGUCCACUUUCGUAGGCGCCCCAAACUUUGCUGAAUGUUGAUGCUUGCAUCACAUGCAGCUCACCUAGAUCAAUGACUGUGUUUGCGAAACUGGUACCUGUAUUUUGCAAUUCAACACUUGCUACAGUUAGCCUGCAUUUACUAUCAUGUACUACAAGAGGACAGAAAAUUAAAAUCACAUAAACAAUACCUUCGCUUGAAGAAGUUUGUGCAAUAGGAAGCUUGAAUGUGUGGUCAAUGGGGCGAGAGCGUGAUCGGGAUACAGAUCUCUUUUUCUUUAAGACAUUCUUAUUCUCUGCAAACGAAAACAUGAUGUAAGACAAUUUACAUAAUGUGUUAAUGCAAUGAGAAUGAGAUGAUUUGCUAAAAUUUUUAUCAACACAAGAGAAAAACUAAUGCAAAAAAAAGUACUCGUUAUCAAGUGCACAUAGUAGCAAAAUAAAACAUGCACAAAUAUCAAGUCAUUUAUUUAUUUUUGGAAAUAAAUAUCAAGUUAUUUUGUAUGGACAAUAUUUUUUCAUAAAAAACACGCCAUAUUUCAUAAAAUCGAUCUCUAGUUAAAACGAACAUUUCUUUUUCUGCAGAAAGAAGUUCACACCAAUAAAAAAGGAUGAGGAAUUAAUUUAGUAAACGGGUAGCAUAUAAAACUUAAAAUUAGAAAAACAUAAACUCACUUUUGACCGCCAUAGUUUUUCAAUUGUGAGACUUUGACCCCUAGUUAACUCAUUUUCUGACUUGUAUAUUACCAUAUUUUUUAAUUUAUUAUUUAAAUAAAAAUAUUGACUAAUUCAACACACAUAUUUAUUAAAAAUAAAAAAAUGGAUUAAUGAAUAUUUAUUUAGUAUAUACAAAAUAUUUUACUGCCUCCGUACCUAAUUAUAAAGCCCUUUUGAAAAAAUAACGGGAAUUAAGAUAGUUGAUAUUUGUAUUAAAUAUGUUUGUAAUUACUAUUGUUUUCAACAUUCUAUUUAUUGCUGAUUGAAGAAAAAGAUGUAUGAUAAAUAGGGACAUGUAUGUAAAGAAAUAAUUAACGAAGUUAGAAAUAAAAAAGGGGUCUUAAUAAAAAGGGACAAAAAAAAUUCUCAAAAGAGUCUUAUAAUUAGGGACGGAGGUAGUACAUUAUAAAUAUCAAUAUAUUAUAUUAUUUUUAUUUGCAUAAUUUUAAAACUAUAGACCAAAACUUUAAUUAAGUCAAUUUUAUUUUUAUUCCUAAACAUGAAACGAAUCUUAAAUUUCUAACAAAAAAUGACAAUUUCAUAGUUUCACUUGACAAAGGAGAAAGGAACCAGAUUAUUUGGAUGUGUAAGUUUUAACAAUGUAAUAAUUUGUUCCUGUGAAAAGAAAGAAAACUAUAUGUACGUAAUAACAUGCGAGAAUCUACACGUAAUAGAUUGAAGCUGCAACAAAAUGUAUGGUGCAAGUACACGUAAAUUAACUUCUUAACGCAUCAUUCAUAUCACCAAUUAAGUUCUAUACACCAUUUUGUUCAACUAUAAUCUAUUGUUACGUAUGGUUUUUUCACCCAACAUCCCAAAUGGUAUAUACCCAUUUUUUCUAUUUAUUUUGUGGCUUUCUCCAAGAAAAACAUUAAGCAAAUAAAUAAAUAUAUGGUAACAAUGGCACAUAAGGUGUUACACGUUAGGCGCCGCCGUUGUGUUGUCUCUUUAGUUAGCUGAUUGCGCGUCUUGUGCAGGUUAACCUUAAUAAAUAAUAUUUGUCGAUUAAAAAAAUAUGGCAUAGAAAAAAAGUACCUGAAAUUUGAUCAGUUGGUGCAGCUGUAGGAACCCCCAUUGCUUCCAUUGCUAUGAAGAGCACAACACAAACACAAAGAAUCCCCACAUUCAUGCCCAUUUCUAUAAUCCCCACUUGAAAGCUCUAACACUUUAGCAAAAUAAGCAGAAAGUUGUAAGUGAUGGUUGUUACUGCCCAAUUCUCAGCUCUAUCCUAUUAUAAAUAUAUAAGUGGUUUUGUGUGAUCCACUCACGGUAUCUCAUUAUUAAAUUGAGUAUCCUUUGAAAAGGUAUGUCACUAUUUUUUUCCUCAAUUCUCAUUUUCCACUUUUGGUAAUGAAGAUUCCUAUUCUAUAUUUUAUUUUUCUAUGUUUACUCCUUUUGUCCCUUUCAUUAAGCUUGAACUAAUAUGGACAAUACAAAAUAGCAUAUAAUAAUGUAAUGUGUAAGACAUUACAUAAUGGAGUCAUUGGGCUACAUUGAUUGUAUUCUUCAGUUACGAUGAUGUGUUGACUGAACAAAAAAUAAGUUACGAGGAUGUCGGUUUUUAUGACGUAAAUUUGCUUAUUACUAGGUAUGUAAGUUACACAUAUACCAAAUACGGACGGAGGAUACAACUGGAAGAAUUGACUAUGAAAGGCCAUCAACAUAGAAGUUUAAAAAUAUUAUUAAAUAAUAAUUAUAGUGGUGGAAUCUAUGUAGUAAUAUACUCUUCCGAUAAAUAGAAAAGAAGAUUUUUUUUUAUUUUUUUUCAGAUUUAUUCAAUAAAUGACGUAGUUAGUUUAUAGGGUUAAAUGUAUUUUUGGUCCCUAUAAAUAUACUAAUUUUUCGUUUUAGUCCCUCUACAAUUUUUUUUCAACUUUUAAUCCCUAUAAAAUUUUCAAUCAAUACUUUUGGUCCCUAUUUUUAAGUAAAUUUUUGUAUUUUUUAAGGAAAUUGUGCAGAAAUGUAUAGAAUAUUGUAAAAAAUCACUCCCAAAAGAACUUAGAAUUUUUUAACAAAACAUGAAUUAAAUAUGAAUUCUAAUUUUUUUUUGGGGGGAGAUCAUUAUAAUAUUAUACAUUUUUCUGCAAAAUUUUAUUUAAAAAUAUGAAUUUUACAUAUGAGUUUACAUUAAACGAGGGACCAAAACCUAAUUUAUAUUAUAGUAUAGAUACAUAACUUAAAAAUAUAUAUUUUUCAUCACCGUGAGUUUAGCCCAGUUGACAAAGAUAUUGCAUAUUAUAUGAAGGGGUCGGGGUUCGAACCUCGAACACUCCACUUCUUCACAUUAAAAUGUGUAAGCUCUAAUUACUAGAAUAUUUGAUAAAAAAAAUCUUCUUUUAUGCUUAGAAUUAGAAGAGUCAUCCAAUAAUUUACCCAAAAACAAGAAGAAGAAUCAUCCAAUAUGUAUAUUUUUAUUUAGGGUACUAUGUGUAUUUUUUUAAUCUAUGUAAAAAAAUACGUGAAACAUUGGUCGAAAAAAACACAACACAAUGUUUCAUUUAUUUUGUGAAAUUAAAAAGAUUCUAACUCAUGAUUCAUGAAUAUAUAUACUAUUUUGGGAGUUCAAACCCUCUUCAUUUCCUCCCUCAUAUUUCCUCGUCAAUACUACUCUUUCUGUCUUUUAAAAAUUGUGCAUGGUUUUUAAGGAAAUGAUUAUUAAGUUGAUUUUAAUGUUAAAAUUGAUAUCAUUUAUUAAAACACCUCUAUUAAUUAUAGUUAGUGGAGUAGUUAUAAUUGAGACUUGAGAAUACAUUGUGACAUUCCAGGUGAAGGAAAGAGAGGGUUAUAGUUGAACUAGACCAAUCUAAUCAUUUUAAAGCUAAAAUAUCAUGCAAGACAUGCAUUGACAUAAUACAUGAUAUCAGUAGUGAAUUAGAAGCUACACUUAACUGCAAUGCAGAAAUAAAUAGAUCACUAAACUAGUUAAAAGGAAAAAUGAAGACUCAAACAAAGAAAAUAAGAAAUUAAAAGAAACAUUUUUCGCUGCUGAAUUGCUGAUAAUGACUACGUAAUUAGGAAAAGAUUGUACAAAUUAAACAAAAACUGUUACCCCUUAAACAACUGCACCAAUAACAUUAUUCUCAAUCAAAUUUGAACUUACCUAGAAUCAAUAUAACUAAAAAAGUCUACAAAAUUCAAAUUUCAUCACCAUUCCAAUUACCCUUUUCCUUUGGACCUGUUGGUCCUUCCUCUCCCAAGGCUUCUUUUGGUAAACUCCUAAUAAUAUUUUCAAAACCAUCUCUUAACUUCCCAGGCAACGCCUUAGCCACAUUCUUCAAUUCAAUAUCUAGAUCAAAGUCAAUAUGUGGACCCCACUCCCUAAAAUAAUUCAACCAUGCUGGCUCUUUAACUUCAGACCCUAAAUAUUCUGCACAAACCAAUACAUAUUUUCCCAUAUCCAUAACAUUUCUACCUUUAUUAGUAUCAUCUCUUGCACCUACUCCAUUUUUCCCUAGUAGAUUAAGGCCAGCAUGUGGAUAUGAUGCAUGACCAUGCAAAGAAGCAUAAACAAUAGGUCUUUUUGUUGGAAAAUCAAAACUACUAGCAUCACUUUGGAACUCAAGUUGAGAUGAAUCAAUCCAUUUACCAGCAUUGUGUUGAGAGAAGUAUACAUGCCAUAAUUGACCAUCGAAGUUACUUACCCUUAAUGUCACAUGCUCCCAAUCACCAACAUGUUCACCUGCUUUUCCCAAUUUAAUAUCUAUAAACUCUACUUUAGCUCUUCCAGCUCCAUUGAAAGGAUAAAAAACCCACAUGGCAAUAUCAGUGAAUGUUCCUCCAUACAUUGGUUUCACAUGUACAUAUGAUUCUGCACUUUGUAGAUUACCUUUCUUGACUCUCUCUUUGUUUGCAUUAUCAACUGGUAGGUCAAGCCAACAGGAACCAUCAGUGUUAGGAUCCUGAGGAAGGUUAUUACCAUUUUGUGCUAUUGGAACAGGAUUUGAUUCUCGACCUUUCUUGUAUAGUAAUGCUCCAUUGGAGAAAAACCAAUUAACCGAGGAAGGUAAGUAUUCUUCAUCGGAAUGUAAGUAUAAGAAUGGAGCAUUAACUUGGAGUAGUGCAUCAAUUUGUUUUUUACUAGGCAUGAUUUGUGUAAUAGAAUCAAUAUUCUUCAAACAUGAAAUUGAUGGCGGGUUAAUAUUCCCACCAUUUUGAGCAACGAAUGUGCCAACUCGAACACCGAGAGCUUUAAUUCCUCUAUUAAUUGGUCUAACAUCGUAGAAAUUUAAGCCGUUUGAUCCCCAAAUCAAUGUAGACGAUUCACAUUGCUCUGUGAGGUCUGAUCUGACACACAUGACUUUGUUGGUGGAAGGUUUAUCUUGUGUUUUGGUGACAACAUGGCCUACAGCAUGGUAGCCAUUAGGUGCUAUUGGUAGCCAGAUAUACAAAGAAGAGUCUUGAGUAACCGUGAUGGAUGCAGUGUUCAAUACUAGUGAGUAAUCAACAGGUGGCUUUAAAGUGCCAUUAGUCUUUCCUGAAAUAUCCUUUGCUACAAGAACAUAACCAAAAAGAGGCUUGCUGUUGGGUUGGCUGUAACUGCCUAACAUAGAGUAUCCAUACCUCAAUCCUGUUGGUUCAUACACUGAGGCGCCUUGAUUGUCCGGUCCACCUUCGUAGGUGCCCCAAACUUUGCUGAAUGUUGAUGCUUGCAUCACAUGCAGCUCACCAAGAUCGAUGAUUGUAUUUGCGAAACUGGUACCUGUAUUUUGCAAUUCAACACUUGCUACAGUUAGCUGCAUUCACUAUAUUGUAUUGCAAGAGAACAGAAAAUUGAAAUUACAUAAAGGAUACCUUCUGGCCAAGAAGGUUGUGAAACAGGAAGCUUGGAUGUGUAGUGAAUGUGGCGAGAGCGGGAUCGCUUUUUCUUGAAGACAUUCUUUAUCUCUGCAAACAAAAAAACAUGUGGUUUGGUAAAAAAAAAAACUAUAAGGUAGCUGAUAGCUGAAAAAUUAGCUUAUAAUUGAUGGCUGAUAGCUAAUAGCUUAUAGCUGAAAAGUUAGCUGAUUAAAAUUAAAAGUGUUUGGUAAAAUUAGCUGUUAAAGUGACUAUAAAUAAAAAAUGACAUAAAAGGACAUGCUUCUUUAAUUUUUUUUAAUAUCAUAUAUAUAAUUUUUUUUGAAGGAAUCAUAUAUAUAAUUUUAAUUACUUAACACAUUUAUUUUUAAAUAUUUAAAUAUAUUUUAAAUUAUUUUCAUCUCCAAAAUAAUAAAUGUAUUUAUGAAUUCAAUCAAAUUUUUUUAUUUAACAAUUUUUAUUUUAUUUUUAUGAAUUUUAUUUAACUAAACUUGCUUCACUAUUAUGAAUUCUAUAUAAAAUUAUAUAUUACAUGAAUUAUGAGCAAAGUAAAAAAAAAACAAAAAAGUGGACAAGAAAAUUUAAAAAGCCAUACAUAGUAAACAUGGUUAGUUUAAGAAGAUAGUGGGUAGUUUUUUUUAUUAUAAUAAAAUAAAAUAAAAUUAAGAAAAGGUUAAAAUGGGAAGAAAGUAUAAAAAGCUACAAGCUAUAAGCUAAAAAGCUACUUGGAUUAGCUUCUUAAAAAACGCUAUAAGCUAGUGAGAAAAGCUUUUUACCAAACAUAUCUCAUUUUAUCAAAACAAGCUUAUAAGCUAGUCCAACAAGUUAUAAGUUAGCUUUUUUGUGUUACCAAACACAGCCUUAAUGCAAGGGGAAUAAGGUCUUUUGUUAAUUAUUAAGUUCAAAUAUUAGGUCUAACAAAUACUUAUAAAAUCAACUUAUAAGAUGAGGAGUGUUAUUCCUUGUAAACUUUUUUAGCAUAAUUUUCCAUGUGAAUUUGAUUUGGAGUAAGUAUCUAUUAGAGACCUUAAAAUUAAUAAUAUUCUAUGGAAAUCUUGGGAAGCUCGCUAAGAAUUAGCUUUUCCAGAACCCAAAAACAAAUAUCAUAGAUGCAUAGAAUUAGCUUGCUAAGAAUUGUCUUUUAUUUUGUCGUCUAAGUGAGAGUCGGUUGUGUUGUUCGUUUUCUUGCUGUGGCGAUUUAAGUUUUCAUUUUGUUGCAGUGUUUAUUCGGUUUGAAUUGAUAGAUUUUCUUCGUUUAGAGCACAUUACAAAUUCAAGUAAUGUUUUUAGCGUCUUCAAUGUUAUAGAUCCUUAGCCAAAUUGGAUAUUUCGGACACCUUAAUUUCGUCUUGGUGUAGGCAUGUUACUUUUUUGCUCUAAAUAUGACUAUUGUGAGUUUGUUCAGAAUUUCAUCAUUUUUUAUUUUAAUGACUUUGAGAUUUGUAUUUUUCUUAGUCAAGUAAUUUCUACAAAUUUGAUGAAUUAAUAUUGCUUUCAGCAAUAGGAAAAAAUAAUCAAUAAACCGUGAUUAACAAAAAAUAUAUUCAAGUUGUAUUAUUUGGACACACGACUUCCUAUAUUGUAUCUUGACACCAUAUAUUAUUGAUGGUUGACAUUGGACUCGAGAGAACAACCACCCACAAAGGAGAAAGAAACAAUCUAUUUAAAAAAAAUAACAUAAAACUUGGUAAACCAUUUCAUGUCAAAAUUUGUGUAAAAAAAUUAGACUAUACCAUCCAAAAAAAUUUGUUCUCACCGUUAAGUAUUCAUCGAGUCCUAAUUGCAUAUAGCAAUCAUUGGUGUGAAAAUUUUUUCUUCCAGUGGCGGAGCCAAACCUAAUUUAAUAAGAGGCCCAAAAUAUGAGAAAUAUGUAGACACAAUUUCAAAUAAAAAAUGUUCAAGCACACAUACAAAAGGUAGAAAAGGAAAAUAUAUAUAUAUAUUUUUUUUUUAAAUAAUUAAAUGAUAUGUCGUUUUAAUUGUGUUUGAAUGAAUUGUCCACCAACUUAUUAAUUUUAGGGAGAAGGUAUGCAUCCUUGGGACAUGCCUUGUACAAGUCAGUGCAGUCGAUGCACAUGCGUCAUUUGCCACUUGAUUUCUUGACUAACACCACUAUAUAUAAUUUAUCUUUGAAACAAACUUGGUUUAGAGGAGCCCAUCUAUGAUGUUUCGAAUUUAUAUGGCUUUGUCCUAUGAUUGACAUCGGCGCCUUUCAGCAAUUUACUUCUCAUUGUGGCUCAAGGACAAAAGGAAAGGUAGAGAAUCCCCCCUUUCUUAUGACGUUUAUUGCUACUUCAGUGUUCAUUGAAAUUCCAUUCUACUAGUUGUGCUAAAUGACCUAAAUUUUUUGUUGAAGCAUGUUGAAGAUGUUCAAUAUGAGAUCAUUUAUGCUGGGAGCUUUGAACGAUGAAUGUGAAUCUGAAAUUUGUGCAUGAUUAUGAGUUUGAUUGUGAUCUCUAGACGACAAAUUCUAGAGGACAUUCUGCAACGAAGCUAGAGGUUGACACUAGAGUUAGACCGACAAGUUUGGGUGAUGAACAUGCACUAGCUAAGGCAUAAUAUGAAGGAGAUCAAUCGUUGUGCUUCAUCUUCUUCACAGACGACAUAAAGGAUCGUAUUUAAAUUGUCCUUUUGAACUUAGAUCGCGGAAAGGCGAUUGAAGGUGGCAUUCUUACCACGAGUUGAUCUGGAACCGAUCAUCAAAAUCUCAAUCGAAAGAGGUUACGAUUGCGAGAUUGAUAAAAUUUGAGAGAAUUAAGUGUUGAUUACCAUAGAUGGCGUCAAUAUUCUUAUGCAGAAUAAAACUAUGAUGGCAUGUUGGUGUACUUCUCAAUGCAAGAUUCUAGCGUGAUGGAGGUUGUUCUCUGGUGAGGGGAAAUGUACAUGCAAAAAAGGUUAGCACUCUAACACUUAAGUUAGUAUCCGAUUGAGGUGGAAAACUGUGGAAUAUGUGCAUCAUACCUUGGCGUGUCCAUGGUCAUGCUUAUAUAGAUAUGGUCCUUAUAACUGUCCCCGAACUAUCUUGCGUGAGAUGCGGAAGACAGUUGAAGGAUAAUCUAAUGGUGCAGAGUGUAGGAGAUGUGUUCCUAUACAAUGAGGCGCACUGGAUGAUAAGGAUGAAAUUGAGAGAAAAAUAAUAAUCUAUAAUUAAUUGAUCUAGCUUUAUCAAAAAUAAGAUAUAAUCUAUUAAAUCUAAACUAUAAGCUCAUGAGAAAAAAUGUUACCAAACAAAUCUUUUUUUUUAUCAUAUGAAUUUUAAGUUUAAGGUAUGAAUUUUUAAUGAAUACUCCCUCCGUUCCUUUUUAAGUGUCACUUUUGGAGAAAUUUUUGGUUCCUAUUUAACUGUCACUUUCAAAGUUCAAUGCAACAUUAAAUGUUGUUUUACCAAUAUUGUCCUUAGUUAUUUAUUGCGGAGAGAGAAAUAUAUGAAAUGAGAUAUUAAAUGAAUAAGGUCAUUAUAGUAAAAGUAUAGCUUAUUGCAUCAAAAGUAGUAUCAAUUGUUGAUUGUCUUGGUUUGUGUAAAAUGUCAAAACGUGACAAUUAAAAAGGAACGGAGGUAGUAUUGUUUUUGGGUUUCAUAAUGGAUUGUUUUACUUGGAUAAAUUACAGUUUUUGUCAUGCAAGUUAAUUUUAGGUUUUACUUUAGUCCUUUAAUUUUUGUCAUUUCAUUCGAGUUUCUAAGUUAGAAAUGCUAGACAUUUUGGUCCCUUAAGUUUUAUUUGUUUCAUUUUACUCUUUUAAAUUUCAAAUAUCAUAACUUUGGCCCUUUAAAUUACAAGCAUUAGACAUUUUCGUCCUUUCAAUCAAUGUCUAAAAUGAAACCUAACAAUAGGUUAAGGGACCAAACUAUCAAUUGUUUAUUACUUAAGUGCUCAAAAUAUCUAAUAAUUUAACUUACUUGAUAAAAAUGGAAAGAAAAAGUCAUUAAAGGGCAAAUUGUCUAACAUUUAUAAAUUAAGUGAUGGAAAUGGAACAGAAAAAAUAUAAGGGACAUAACUGAAACCUUAAAAUUACUUACGGGACCAAAAAUCUUGUUCACAGGUGAAUCCUACUGCACAAGAACACUGCCCAAGGUUGAUCCUGGUUGUUGAACCGAUCUCUAACUCACUUUCGCAUGCAUCGCUGAAUUUCACAAAAGCAAUUACGUUGAUCCUUCUAUAUAAGAUUGGUUCCACGUCCCAUGUAUGAUCAUAUUUUUUACAUUUUAUCACACUUAUCUCUCGAGUUCACAUAUUGACUUGAGCUUUUGAGAAUAUUUGGAUUUAGUUUUAAAUUGGCUUGUUAUCUCGCGUGUUCUUCCUUGCUCUCCUUCUAGUUAUACUAUUCAGCUUGAAGGAUCUAGUCAGUUUUUUAAAUAGAUUUGUUUUUGUAUGCAUUUGAUUUGGACAGCUUGUGUUUAAAUUAUUUGGAAGGAGUGAAAUUAUCGUCUUUUGAUGGUUAGAGGCCAAGAAUUCAAAUUCAUCUUAUUUUGGUGGUUAAAGGCCAAUAAUUCAAAUUUACCUUUUGAGUUGAGUUCUUGAUGGCAUAAUCCGUUGGUUUGUCUUGUGCACUUGGUUGUCAAUUUUGUGAUGUUAUUUCUUUGUUUUUUUUGUUGUUUCGAUUUUUUUAUUCUUAUAUAUUGAUACUUUGUUGUUGUUUCAAACCAAAAAUUAAAUAAAUAAAGAUAAAGUAACAGUGACAAGAAGAAAAGUACCUAAAAGUUGACCCAUUGGUGUAGCUCUAGGAAACCCCAUUGAUUCAAUUGCCAUGAAAAGCACAACACAAACACAAAGAAUCCUCACAUUCGUGCCCAUAAUUUCGACAAACCCUUCUUUCCACCACCUCAGAUCUCUAAGUUACUGUCCAAAAAAAAAAAAACUCAGUUUCCUAACCUCAAGUCAACUCUUUUUUGUUCUUACCCUUGACUAUGAUAGGUCGUGAAGUUUGAUAAAAAUUAUAGAAUAAUUAUGAUGGUUGGACUCAUUUAAUAGUAAUAUUUAUUAUUUAUUUUUUGUGUCUCUUUUAAUAUGUAAAUUUUUAUUUGUAUUAAGAAACUAAGAGGAUCCUAACUCGUGAAUAUGGCGGGGUGGGCGACCGUCACGGUGCCAUUUCAUUAGGGACACAAAAAUUAUUAUUUAUAUUUUUUUUGAAGGAAUUAUUAUUUAUACUUAGUAGGUAGUGGUAUAUAUAUAUAGAUUUUUUUUUUUUUAAAUUCGCUUUGAUUAAUUGUAUCAAAAAUAUUUUUUUAAAGAGCCUUGAUUCUGAAAGAUUUUUUUGUUGAUUUUCUAGCAAAAAUACAAGAAGAAAGACAUUCGAUGAAUUAAAAUUACAUCACUUUAUUGAUUCGCAAAUUACACCAAAAAUAUUAGGACUGAACCUGAUAAAUGGAAUUACCUCUACAAUUUUUUAAUAAUAGUUUUACAAUAAUUACAUAUCAUAUAUUUUUUUAUUUAUAAAUUUACAGAAGAAACUUGAUUGAAUUGCAACAUCAUCUUAUAUAAAAACUAAAUAAAACAAAGAAUCAGAAGAAACUUAAUUGAAUUGAAAUUAACUUUCUUUUAAUGGUAUCUGGUAAUGCUCAAUGCAUUACUUUAGUUUAUAAAAUAAAAGAUAUAUAUAUAAAAAAUAAAAAAAAAUAAAAAAAAAACUUUGGAUUGCAACCUAGAAAAUAAAACAAAGAAGAAACAAUUUACCCAAAAAAUGCAGGGCAGAAUCAGAAAAACAAUGAUAUAGCCUGUAACACAAAUCUCUUGCUAUGAGCUGAUAUAUUUUUUUCUUUCUAAAGCAAUAGAAAUUCUCUAAUUCUCUCAAUUAUUUAUCUCUUUUAAUCAACUAAUAAGGUUAGCAAUGGAAGGAAACCCUUGGGCAAGCUGCAGAUGAAAAGAAAGAGAAGAAUAAAUUUUAAGAAAAAUAGGAUAAACUUUAUUUUUUGAAUAUAGGAAAAACAGUUUCCCUAAACUUUUUUGUACUUUCUGUUAAUUCAGCACAUAUAAACGUGCUUAAUUUGAUUACCUAAAUAUGUGGAUUUAUCGCCAAGUGUGGUGACAUCCUGAAAAGAUUGAAAACAUAAAUAUCCAGCAAGCAACUAAAAGAAGAAAUGCCUCCAAAAAAUAAAAAAAAUAAAAGAGGGUGUUGAAAUUGACUCAAAAGUUUCUGAAUAAAAAGAUUGUUGCUAAAAAUAUAAAUAUUUGUUUAAAAUAUAUUUUGCGCCGAAGGAGGAAAAAAAACAGUAUCUUCAACAUGAUAUCCGUUUCAAAUUUACGAGAUAUAUUUCUUUUAAAUACAUAUCCUGUAUUAGAUGAAAAGUGAGAAGUAGAGGAAAAACAAGGAUUAGAAGCCAACAACAAAACUAGGAUUUGUAGAGAUUUCUCUUGGUAACAAACAUUAGGGUUGAGAUUGAAACACCGUUGAUUCACCUUAGCAAACACUAUUAGGAUUGAGUCUCUUGGUCACGGAAAGAGAUUCGAGACUUUGGGUAGAAUUAAGUUUGAAGACUGAUUCUUGAAACCCAUUGGAAUCUUUUAUAAAGUUACUCAAUAAUUAUAGUGGAACGGAGAACUGUUAUCUCCCCUAAUGUAUGGUGGUUUUAAUUAAGGAGAUAGGGAGAUAUAUGCGGAAUUUUAUCUGGAGUGAAGACCUUAAUAGAAGAAAAAACACUAGUGACAGUUGCUUGGAACAUUGUGUGCACUCACAUUGCAGAAGGAGGCUUUGGCAUGAUGUCUCUUCAUAGUGAAAUGAAGCUUCUAAUUUAAAGCUUUGUUAGGAGAUUUUUCAUUUUGAAAAUCAUUGGGCUAAUUUCCUCUGAAUUCGAGUCAUGAAAGGAAAAAAUUUCAUUGGUUAUCACAUACUCUCAUCCAUCUGGAAUGGCCUCAAAUCAUAAUCUUUAACACAUCAUUAAUAACAUUAUCUGGUUGCUUCAUUAUAGUAAAAGAAUACAAAUUUUGCUUCAUGGUUGGAGUGGAGUGCCUUUGACUUAGUUGCUCAAUAUUCCACAACAUGUCCAUACAAACCUCCAAUCCACGGUUAAUGAUUGUUAAAUCUCAGUGGCAUAUCGCAAUUGAUUUGUAUAUUUCCUCCCCCACUCUUUUGCAGCAUAUUAAUCAAUUGAUCAUACAUUUAGAUCACAUUGAGGAUCAUCUGAUUUGGAAGAAUACUACCUCAGGGAGCUCACUCUUAAAGAUGCUUAUUAAUAUUUCUCACCAACUGAUCACUAAAAGCAGUGGUCUAAAACUAUUUGGAAUACAAGUAUACCUCCCUCAAAAUCCUUCAUGGUUUUGAGAUUUAUUCACAAGAAGUUGCCAGCAUAUGAGAAUUUAGUUGUUAGAGGUUGCCACAUGCCCUUAAUGUGUAACUUGUGCAACAAGCAAUCUGAAACCUCUGAACACUUCUUCCUACAUUGUCCAUUUCCAAUUGCUUUAUGGAACUGACUUCACUAUAUUAUUGAGCAUAAUAUAAAUAUCAGUUCCAUAUUACCCAUCUUUGAUGACUACAACAAAGGUUGGAGCCCCCAAUGCAAGUUGGUUAUUAUUUCUAUGGUUAUCCACAUUAUCAACACAACAUGGUUUAGCAUAAACAACUAUAUAUUCAACAACAUCCGAGAAACUUUGAGCACAACCGUUGCAAUGACGACUGCUAAUGUCUCCCUUGUUGGGAAUCUCAAGAGAUUUACCACAUGUCUAUCAAUCUCUGACUUUGUGAUCCUGGAAAGCUUUCAAAGUGUUAAUAAUCAUCCAAAGGCUCCUAGAAUUUUACAAGUGAUUUGGCAUUCUCAUAUCCUUAGUUGGAUAAAGUACAAUAUUAAUGCCACUGCACUAGGUAACCCUGGCCUUUCUGGUUGUGCAGUCAUUUUUAGAAACAAUCAUUGAAAAAGCCUUGGUUGAUUUUUUUUUUUCUAACCUUGAAAUCUCAAAUGCUCUAUAUGCUAAGAUUAUGGGAGUCAUUCUUUCUAAUUAGUGUGCUCUUUAGAAGAGUUGGCAUAGUCUUUUGAUCAAAACUCUAAGCUAGAGACAUUGGCUUUCAUGUCACCUCACAUUGUUCCAUGAUAGAUAAAGAAUAGACGGAUUAACUACCUCUCGAAGAUGAGCACCAUGAACUUUUUGAUAUCCCAUAUCUUAACAGAAGGUAAUUACUGGUUUCAUUUAAUUUCAUAAGGAUUUGUACUACAAGAACUCGGAGAUAUAAUUACUGGUUUCAUUUAAUUUAAUUUUUUCAAAUCAAACACAAACUAUAACCCCUAAUACAAUCGCACCACUAAGAAUCAAUAUAACUAAAAAAGUGUACAAAAAUCAAACUUCAUCACCACUCCAAUUAUUCUUUUGCUUUGGACCUGUUGGUCCUGCCUCUCCCAACGCUUCUUUUGGUAAACUCCUAAUAAUAUCUUCAAAACCGUUUUUUAACUUCCCAGGCAAUAACUUCUCAACAUUCUUCAACUCAUCAUCUAGACUAUAGUCCACGUGUGGACCCCAUUCCCUAAAAUAAUUCAACCAUGCUGGCUCUUUAACUUCAGACCCUAAAUACUCUGCAGAAACCAAUACAAAUUUUCCCAUAUCCAUAACAUUCUUUCCUUUAUUAGUAUCAUCUCUUGCACCUAUUCCAUUUUUCCCUAGUAGAACAAGACCAGCAUGUGGAUAUGAUGCAUGACCAUGCAAUGAAGCAUAGACAACAGGUCUUUUUGUUGCACCUAUUCCAUCUUGGAACUCAAGUUGGGAUGAAUCAAUCCAUGAACCAAGAUUAUGUUGUGAGAAAUAUACAUGCCAUAAUUGACCAUCCAAAUUACUUACCCUUAAUGUCACGUGCUCCCAAUCACCAACAUGUUCACCUAUUUUCCCUAAUUUCACAUUUAAGAACUCCACUUUUGCUCUCCCAGGUCCAUUAAAAGGGUAAAAAACCCACAUGGCAAUAUCAGUGAAUGUUCCUCCAUACAUUGGUUUCACAUGUACGUAUGAUUCUGCACUUUGUAGAUUACCUUUCUUGACUCUCUCUUUGUUUGCAGCAUCAGCAGGUAGGUCUAUCCAAUAGGCACCAUCAGUAUUGGGAUCCUGAGGAAGGUUAGUACCAUUUUGUGCUAUGGGAACAGGAUUUGAUUCUUCACCUUUCUUGUAUAGUAAUGCUCCAUUGGAGAAAAACCAAUUAACCGAGGAAGGUAAGUAUUCUUCAUCAGAAUGUAAGUAUAGAAAUGGAGAGUAAACUUGGAGCAUUGCCUCAAUUUGUUUUUUAUUAGGCAUGAUUUGUGAAAUAGAAUUGAGAUUCUUCAAACAUGAAAUUGAUGGAGGGUUAGUAUUCCCACCAUUUUGAGCAAAGAAGGUACCGACUCGAACACCAGGAGCUUGAGUUCCUCUAUUGAUUGGUCUAACAUUGUAGAAAUUGAAGUUGUUUGAUCCCCAAAUCCACGAAGAAGACUCACAUUGGUCUGUGAGGUCUGAUCUGACACACAUGAUUUUGUCAAGUGAAGG
rnacentral:lncRNA from 1 species